GCCUCCUGGGACCACCUGGCCACCCUCAGUGUGCCCAUGGCCCCCUCUGCCGUCUUGGCAUUUCCUUUCUGUGGGCCCUUCCUGGACAGAGAAGCAGGAGCAGCUCAGGUCACAGCUGGGUCACACCCAGGAGAUGCCUUGCACCCACCUAGUGCUCAGAGAAUGUUUGUUGCUUCAGAUUGGAAGGGAGUCAUUGGUGUGCUGGAGGGGUGGUGGUGCGGGGGGCGCUCACGCAGGCCCCUCAGGUUCAACCCAGAAGGAGCCAGGGCUGGGGUAUGUGCCUGACCCCGAGCCCUGGGUGCUUCUGAGUGGGGCAGGAGCUCCGGGUCCUCCAGGAUAGACAGGGCUUCCCCCUAAACCCGCACACGCCCGCAGGCAGGUGGGUGAUGGAUGCAGGGUGUGCAGGAGCCACGUAGGCAAGUUCUCUUCCUCCUGGCCACUUAGGUUUGAUUUGAAGGUUGGUUUCAGCCUGGCUGAGCCGGCCCAGGGCCCAGGCACCUCACAAGCAUCAUCUCCCAUCAAACAGCAUGAAUAAUUUAGUCUCUAAUUAAAAGUGAGGUCAAGCCAUGAAAAAUGGCUGGAUGUCCGGUGACACCAUGAUGCAUUAAAUUGCUGGCAGAGCUGAGGCAGGCGGGCAGGAAGCUCUGGUGUCAGCAUGGAGGCAGCGUGGUGGGGCACCCUGGGAGGAGGGUCUCCAAGUAAGGGCGAGGUUGCUGGGCAGACCCAGGGACACCCCCUUCCUGCCACCAUUGUCACCUGAGGGGCUCCCUGCCCUCCAACCACCCCCUUGCCCUCUUGCUUUCCCCAAACACACCAGAUCCAUCCUGCUGUGGGUCUGUGCAUGUGUUCUUUCUGGAAUAUUCUUCCCCCAAUACCUGGUUGGCUUCCUUCCUUGCUUUAUUCAGAUCUUGCUCAAAUGUCACCUUGCCUGUCCACACUGGCUAUGAUGCCAUCUGCCCACCCCACUGGCCCGUUUUCUUUGUCCCACUCCCUGCCUGGGUCUCUGGGCAGUACCUCUCACUGCUCGGUGUUCUAGUUUAUACUGAGUUGUCUAUCUCUCCAACUAGAGGGCCAAGGUCCCACGUGUCCCCAGCACCAAGGACAGCACCCAGCACACAGCCGGUGCAGUGGAGGCUGAGCACCACAGGGAUGUCCCUCCAGCCCAGAGCCCCCUGGAAACAGAGACAGAUGAGGGGCAGAGCUGAACCGCCAGCUUAUCUGCUUCUGUGUUCUCUCCCUCUCUCCUCUUGGCUGCCGGGACCCUCUUCGGCCAUUGAGCGAAACCAUCUGCCACCAGAGCCGUGAGUCUCCGGGCAGAAGCCGCGGCGACAAGCUCGAGAUGUGCGGGUUGUAGUUAUCAGCAGAAGCAACAUCUGCCCGCCCGGCCGCCAACAAUGGUAGGCCAUUUAGCCCGUCCCCUCCUCCCCUGAGCUGCAGACAACAGCUCCCAGUAUUAUAUUUUCCCACUCAAUUAGCACCAUCAUCCUGCUGAAAGAGAGGCCAAUUUACCUAUAAUGACAUCAUUGUUAGGGAAGUGGCGGCUGGGCUGUCACCAGGUUGUGGAGACAGGUCCGUCUCUCUCCACUAACCCUGACAGGGCCGGGCCGGGGAGCCGGGCGGGAAGGCCAGGGGCGCCCAGGCGGCCUAUCGGCGGCCACCCCGUCACCUCCGACCACAGACAUUGUUUCCGACAGUUCUCAGGAGCAGUGUGGCGGAAAAUUGAGUCCAGAUUCAUUAGGUUUUUCAGUGUGCCGCUCAAGUCAGUUAAAUUG
rnacentral:lncRNA from 12 species